GCGGCUUAGCACUAUCCCCUCGGUGAAGACUGAGUUUUCAGUUCAUGCGAGAUCUGAUUGUUUAAAAGAGUGCAGCACUUCCUCCACCUUGCUCCCUCUCUUGCCACUGAUGUGCCUGCUUCCCCUUCACCUUCUGCCUGGAUUGUAAGCUCCCUGAGAACCUCACCAGAAGCAGAUGCCAGCACCACGCUUCCUAUACAGCCUGCCAAAAUCUCCUGAAUUUCACAGACAAAUCCAGACCCCUGUGUGGAAAGCCUGCGGUGGUGUUCUCCGUCUUCCCACAGGACUCCCUGCAGCCAGGAAUUCUAGGGGAGCACCUGACGCGAGGUAUACGCCCAGAUGGCCUGAAGUAACUGAAGAAUCACAAAAGAAGUGAAAAUGUCCUGCCCCGCCUUAACUGAUGACAUUCCACCACAAAGGAAGUGUCAAUGGCUGGUCCUUGCCUUAACUGAUGACAUUCCACCGCAAAAGAAGUGAAAAUGGCCGGUCCUUGCCUUAACUGAUGACAUUACACCACAAAAGAAGUGAAAAUGGCCGGUCCUUGCCUUAAGUGAUGGCAUUACCUUGUGAAAGUCCUUUUCCUGGCUCAUUCUGGCUCAAAAUCACCCCCACUGAGCACCUUGUGACCCCCACUCCUGCCCGCCAGGGAACAAUCCCCCUUUGACUGUAAUUUUCCUUUACCUACCCAAAUCUUAUAAAAUGGCCCCACCCCUAUCUCCCUUUGCUGACUCUCUUUUUGGACUCAGCCUGCCUGCAUCCAGGUGAUUAAAAGCUUUUAUUGCUCACACAAAGCCUGUUUGGUGGUCUUUUCAUACGGAUGUGCGUGAAAACCACAAUAUUCCUG
rnacentral:lncRNA from 1 species